CUCUCGUAGAGUACCUGCGGAGGGAUCAUUACCGAGUUUACAACUCCCAAACCCAAUGUGAACGUUACCAAACUGUUGCCUCGGCGGGAUCUCUGCCCCGGGUGCGUCGCAGCCCCGGACCAAGGCGCCCGCCGGAGGACCAACCAAAACUCUUUUUGUAUACCCCCUCGCGGGUUUUUUAUAAUCUGAGCCUUCUCGGCGCCUCUCGUAGGCGUUUCGAAAAUGAAUCAAAACUUUCAACAACGGAUCUCUUGGUUCUGGCAUCGAUGAAGAACGCAGCGAAAUGCGAUAAGUAAUGUGAAUUGCAGAAUUCAGUGAAUCAUCGAAUCUUUGAACGCACAUUGCGCCCGCCAGUAUUCUGGCGGGCAUGCCUGUCCGAGCGUCAUUUCAACCCUCGAACCCCUCCGGGGGGUCGGCGUUGGGGAUCGGCCCUGCCUCUUGGCGGUGGCCGUCUCCGAAAUACAGUGGCGGUCUCGCCGCAGCCUCUCCUGCGCAGUAGUUUGCACACUCGCAUCGGGAGCGCGGCGCGUCCACAGCCGUUAAACACCCAACUUCUGAAAUGUUGACCUCGGAUCAGGUAGGAAUACCCGCUGAACUUAAGCAUAUCAAUAAGCGGAGGA
rnacentral:rRNA from 1 species